rnacentral:lncRNA from 1 species
GUUGAACCUAUGUUGCCCGUGGGUGUCGAUUUAUGACGGUUGAGCUACAUAGUCUAGGAUGAUGUUUAACUAUAAUGCUAGUCUUUUUUCCCAAUCCCGGCAUAUUAUUUAAUCUAUAUUAAAAGUGUGAACUUCAACUUGUCUGCUUGAAGACAUUAAAAUAAAAGUAGAGGGCAUUUUAGUCUUUUUACAAGGACAAUUUGCCUAAAGAGUUUGUCCUUUGUGCAAUGAUA